rnacentral:rRNA from 1 species
AACGAACGCUGGCGGCAUGCCUAACACAUGCAAGUCGAACGAGACCUUCGGGUCUAGUGGCGCACGGGUGCGUAACGCGUGGGAACCUGCCCUUAGGUUCGGGAUAACUCCCCGAAAGGGGUGCUAAUACCGGAUAAUGUCUUCGGACCAAAGAUUUAUCGCCUUUGGAUGGGCCCGCGUUGGAUUAGCUAGUUGGUAGGGUAAAAGCCUACCAAGGCGACGAUCCAUAGCUGGUCUGAGAGGAUGAUCAGCCACACUGGGACUAAGACACGGCCCAGACUCCUACGGGAGGCAGCAGUGGGGAAUAUUGGACAAUGGGCGAAAGCCUGAUCCAGCAAUGCCGCGUGAGUGAUGAAGGCCUUAGGGUUGUAAAGCUCUUUUACCCGGGAUGAUAAUGACAGUACCGGGAGAAUAAGCGCCGGCUAACUCCGUG